rnacentral:rRNA from 1 species
UCGAGAAUUUUUCUCAAUGGGGGAAACCCUGAAGGAGCGACGCCGCGUGGAGGAUGAAGGUCUUCGGAUUGUAAACUCCUGUCAUUUGGGAACAAUUGUCACCGGUUAACUGCCGGGGGCUUGAUAGUACCAGAAGAGGAAGAGACGGCUAACUCUGUGCCAGCAGCCGCGGUAAUACAGAGGUCUCAAGCGUUGUUCGGAUUCAUUGGGCGUAAAGGGUGCGUAGGUGGCGGGGUAAGUCAGGUGUGAAAUCUCGGAGCUCAACUCCGAAACUGCACUUGAUACUGCCUUGCUCGAGUACUGGAGAGGAGAUUGGAAUUUACGGUGUAGCAGUGAAAUGCGUAGAUAUCGUAAGGAAGACCAGUGGCGAAGGCGAAUCUCUGGACAGUUACUGACACUGAGGCACGAAGGCCAGGGGAGCAAACAGG